CCCAAACUCCUACGGGAGGCAGCAGUAGGGAAUCUUCCGCAAUGGACGCAAGUCUGACGGAGCAACGCCGCGUGAGUGAAGAAGGAUUUCGGUUCGUAAAACUCUGUUGUUAGAGAAGAACAGCGCAUAGAGUAACUGUUAUGCGUGUGACGGUAUCUAACCAGAAAGCCACGGCUAACUACGUGCCAGCAGCCGCGGUAAUACGUAGGUGGCAAGCGUUGUCCGGAUUUAUUGGGCGUAAAGCGAGCGCAGGCGGUCAAUUAAGUCUGAUGUGAAAGCCCCCGGCUCAACCGGGGAGGGUCAUUGGAAACUGGUUGACUUGAGUGCAGAAGAGGAGAGUGGAAUUCCAUGUGUAGCGGUGAAAUGCGUAGAUAAAUGGAGGACCACCAGUGGCGAAGGCGACUCUCUGGUCUGUAACUGACGCUGAGGCUCGAAAGCGUGGGUAGCAAACAGGAUUAGAUACCCUGGUAGUCCACGCCGUAAACGAUGAGUGCUAAGUGUUGGAGGGUUUCCGCCCUUCAGUGCUGCAGUUAACGCAUUAAGCACUCCGCCUGGGGAGUACGACCGCAAGGUUGAAACUCAAAGGAAUUGACGGGGACCCGCACAAGCGGUGGAGCAUGUGGGUUAAUUCGAAGCAACGCGAAGAACCUUACCAAGUCUUGACAUCCUUUGACCACUCUAGAGAUAGAGCUUUCCCUUCGGGGACAAAGUGACAGGUGGUGCAUGGUUGUCGUCAGCUCGUGUCGUGAGAUGUUGGGUUAAGUCCCGCA
rnacentral:rRNA from 1 species